AAAACAGCCCUUUUCAGGGCUAUCACAUGAAAUCCCUUAAAGGGUUU
rfam:Lutzomyia longipalpis Contig1674, whole genome shotgun sequence.